CUCAGAUGCUGAACGUGAAGGAUAACGUUGCGACAGCAACGGCCCGAAGGGCGAGGCGAAGUCGAGUCAUCCUGCACGACCCACCA
rnacentral:sRNA from 1 species